rnacentral:rRNA from 1 species
CAGCAGCCACGGGAAUACGAAGGGUGCAAGCGUUAAUCGGAAUUACUGGGCGUAAAGCGUGCGCAGGCGGUUUGUUAAGACAGAUGUGAAAUCCCCGGGCUCAACCUGGGAACUGCAUUUGUGACUGGCAAGCUAGAGUGUGGCAGAGGGGGGUGGAAUUCCGCGUGUAGCAGUGAAAUGCGUAGAUAUGCGGAGGAACACCGAUGGCGAAGGCAGCCCCCUGGGCCAACACUGACGCUCAUGCACGAAAGCGUGGGGAGCAAACAGGAUUAGAUACCCCAGUAGUCCCUGUCUCUUAUAC